GUUCGAUUCUGGCUCAGAUUGAACGCUGGCGGGAUGCUUUUACACAUGCAAGUCGAACGGCAGCACGGACUUCGGUCUGGUGGUAAGGUGGCGAACGGGUGAGUAAUGUAUCGGAACGUGCCUAGUAGCGGGGGAUAACUACGCGAAAGCGUAGCUAAUGCCGCAUACGCCCUUCGAGGAAAGCGGGGGACCUUCGGGCCUCGCACUGUGAAACGGCCGAUAUCGGAUUAGCUAGUUGGUGGGGUAACGGCUCGCACAAGGCGACGAUCCGUAGCUGGUUUGAGAGGACGACCAGCCACUGGGACUGAGACGCGGCCCAGACUCCUACGGGAGGCAGCAGUGGGGAAUUUACGGACAGUAAACCUGAUCCAGCCAUCCCGCGUGUGCGAUGAAGGCCUUCGGGUUGUAAAGCACUUUUUGGCAGGAAAGAAACUGGCACGGGAUAUUACCCCGUGCAACGGCCAGUACCUGCAGAAUAAAGCACCGGCUAACUACGUGCCAGCAGCCGCGGUAAUACGUAGGUGCAAGCGUUUAAUCGGAAUUACUGGGCGUAAAGCGUGCGCAGGCGGUUCGGAAGAAGAUGUGAAAUCAGAGCUUAACUUUGGAACUGCAUUUUUAACUACCGGGCUAGAGUGUCAGAGGGAGGUGGAAUUCCGCGUGUAGCAGUGAAAUGCGUAGAUAUGCGGAGGAACACCGAUGGCGAAGGCAGCCUCCUGGGAUAACACUGACGCUCAUGCACGAAAGCGUGGGAGCAAACAGGAUUAGAUACCCUGGUAGUCCACGCCCUAAACGAUGUCAACUAGCUGUUGGGGCCUUCGGGCCUUGGUAGCGCAGCUAACGCGUGAAGUUGACCGCCUGGGGAGUACGGUCGCAAGAUUAAAACUCAAAGGAAUUGACAGGGACCCGCACAAGCGGUGGAUGAUGUGGAUUAAUUCGAUGCAACGCGAAAACCUUUACCUACCCUUGACAUGUCUGGAAUCCGAAGAGAUUUGGGAGUGCUCGCAAGAGAACCGGAACACAGGUGCUGCAUGGCUGUCGUCAGCUCGUGUCGUGAGAUGUUGGGUUAAGUCCCGCAACGAGCGCAACCCUUGUCAUUAGUUGCUACGAAAGGGCACUCUAAUGAGACUGCCGGUGACAAACCGGAGGAAGGUGGGGAUGACGUCAAGUCCUCAUGGCCCUUAUGGGUAGGGCUUCACACGUCAUACAAUGGUCGGGACAGAGGGUCGCCAACCCGCGAGGGAGCCAAUCCCAGAAACCCGAUCGUAGUCCGGAUCGCAGUCUGCAACUCGACUGCGUGAGUCGGAAUCGCUAGUAAUCGCGGAUCAGCAUGUCGCGGUGAAUACGUUCCCGAGGUCUUGAACACCGCCCGUCACACCAUGGGAGUGGGUUUUACCAGAAGUAGUUAGCCUAACCGUAAGGGAGGGCGAUUACCACGGUAGGAUUCAUGACUGGGGGUGAAGUCGUAACAAGGUAA
rnacentral:rRNA from 1 species